rnacentral:hammerhead_ribozyme from 2 species
UAGCGAAACCACGCCGCUCCAAAACUGGAGCGGCCGGUCUGCCGGGCGUGGUGGCCCGGCACUGACGAGCAGCCACAC